UGCGGGACUCAGCCGCCCCUCCCUGGAAGCGGAGGACUCGCGGGGCACCGCGCUCCGCGCCGCAGCCGCCGCCGCCGCCGCCGGAGUCCAGAUUGCAGCGUGUCAGGGGCUGCAGCCGCGGACACACGUGCGGGGCGCCCGCAAGCCCCCGGCGGCGCUCCGCAGUCCGGCGCCCCGAUAUUAAUUAAACGCAUUAAUAAGAGGGCGCCAUUAGCCAUGUGCCCACACAAAUGGCCGAGCAGGAGGAAUGCACCCGCAUGGAAACAAAGUUACUUUUCUUAAAGCUGCAGCCCACCCCCCCUCUCCCCCGCACACGCGCGCGCACACACACACACACACACACACACACACAUACACACACACACAUACACAGAACCACGCGCAGACACGGCACCCGCCGAGGCACCACGGCCGCCCCGCGCCCCCGCAGCUGCUUACCUGGGUAUCUCAUUUAAUCCUUGACACAGCUAUCACCAAUGUACCCUGACUACUAUCCUUCUUCAUUGAGGGAAACCAGGUAAGGACUGAUAAGAUGAGAGAUGCCAGCUGCCUCCCCAGCAUGCAGCCACCCUUGGAGACUCCCUUCUGUAUAUAGAAAAUCCAGAAUGCACAAGAAUUACUAGACUUAAUAGCACAGCUGUAUAUAGACUACAAAUCUCACUCUACCUUGACGUGAACAGGAAAACCAUGCAUAAAACCAACUCCACCCUACAGAUGCAGGAGCCUAAAGAACGAAUUCUAUACUAAGAAGCUACUCUUGCAAUGGAGCCCACAGGUACAGCUGCUGUUUAGACUUCUCAGUUCACAUUUUGUUUAUUUAAUCAAAAGACACCUUUGCACUCUGCUAGUCAUUUGGGGCAAAGAGGACACAGUAAAAAUAUGACCUUGUCACCAUGGAGCUUGCGUCCAAUUUGCCAGACCCUUUCCAGUGUGUUUGUGUGAGAGAGACAAAGACAGAAAGAGAUAGAGAUAGAGAUAGAGAUAGAGAGAUAUUUCUCCUUAGUUUCACCCUCUGCAACUGUUUAGCAUUCAUCACUACUGCCCCUUUCAUCUCAUCAAGGAUGCUUCUAGAACUGUUGACGAUACAAGGGAGACUAUGAGACAGUAUUCUCAGUUCUUGAUGUGCUUCUAUGAAGUUGAGGUGUGGAAAAUCCCCAAGCUAACUGGGAUGGGAAAAUACCUGUAGGAUCCUCAAGGCAGGGGAGAAAAUUCGAAUCUAAGUUCAUGGAGAAGGCUUUGAGGAUGUGGCUCUUGAUUAAACAUUUAAUUACUUUCACAUGUAAAAUAAAGUCACUAAUGGGGCUUCAGAGCUCCUUGUGGUCACAGUACACAAUGACCCCCCCUUUUACUCCUGUAUGUUAAACUUUGAUGACCUUCCUACAGGAAGGCACUCUUAGUUUCUUGUCUCCUGUGUGUGUGUGUGUGUGUGUGUGUGUGUGUGUGUGUGUGUGUGUGUCUUUUUCAUAGUCUUUCACAACACUUUUCACAAAUAGCUUUUACUCCACCAUGUUUGUUGGAUUGUUUGCUUCAAUUCUGAAAUCCUAGCACAUAUGUAUGAUGCUUUACUUCUUAUAGAGUACUUAUUGCUUAGUCAUUGUUGUUGAUUAUAAGAUGAGUUAUAUUGUUAAGGAUGUUUUUAAAAAGAUUUACCGGAAGUGGCAAAGCGAACACAAGUAUGCUGCCUGUAUGUGGCACCACAGAGGAUCCAAGGCAAUGGUAGGCCAACUACUAUUGGGUAGUGCAUCCAAAGUCAAAUUUAGCGACUGAAUUCACUUUCUCAUGCUUGAUCUGCUACUGUACCCACAAACCACUCUUUCUAUGUUAUAUACACUUCAUUUUCUACAGUUCAACAUCUCUAUGAACACUUGCAAAAGGAAUAGACUUUUAAUUGAAUAAAAUCUACAGUUAACACAGAGGAGGGUCGAGUAGCUAAAACUGCAGGUGACUGGGUCAAGAUUUAAAAUAAUCUUGGCAACCUAGAACAGUGGUCCUAAAAUACACAUCACAUUCCAUGGGCGUACAUGUGGAAUUCUAUUUAGAUUAAAAAUGCCACAACUA